rnacentral:rRNA from 1 species
CCUACGGGGGGCAGCAGUGAGGAAUAUUGGUCAAUGGACGAGAGUCUGAACCAGCCAAGUAGCGUGAAGGAUGACUGCCCUAUGGGUUGUAAACUUCUUUUAUAUGGGAAUAAAACGUUCCACGUGUGGGAUUUUGUAUGUACCAUAUGAAUAAGGAUCGUCUAACUCCGUGCCAGCAGCCGCGGUAAUACGGAGGAUCCGAGCGUUAUCCGGAUUUAUUGGGUUUAAAGGGAGCGUAGGUGGAUUGUUAAGUCAGUUGUGAAAGUUUGCGGCUCAACCGUAAAAGUGCAGUUGAAACUGGCAGUCUUGAGUACAGUAGAGGUGGGCGGAAUUCGUGGUGUAGCGGUGAAAUGCUUAGAUAUCACGAAGAACUCCGAUUGCGAAGGCAGUUCACUGGACUGCAACUGACACUGAGGCUCGAAAGUGUGGGUAUCAAACAGGAUUAGAUACCCUUGUAGUC